rnacentral:rRNA from 1 species
UACGUAGGGUGCGAGCGUUGUCCGGAAUUAUUGGGCGUAAAGGGCUCGUAGGCGGUCUGUCACGUCGGGAGUGAAAACUCAGGGCUUAACCCUGAGCCUGCUUCCGAUACGGGCUGACUAGAGGUAUGCAGGGGAGAACGGAAUUCCUGGUGUAGCGGUGAAAUGCGCAGAUAUCAGGAGGAACACCGGUGGCGAAGGCGGCAUUCUGGACCGACAUUGACGCUGAGGAGCGAAAGCCAGGGGAGCAAACGGG